rnacentral:rRNA from 1 species
UACAGAGGGGGCGAGCGUUGUUCGGAAUUACUGGGCGUAAAGGGCGCGUAGGCGGCCUUCUAAGUCGAACGUGAAAUCCCCGGGCUCAACCCGGGAACUGCGUCCGAUACUGGGAGGCUUGAAUCCGGGAGAGGGAUGUGGAAUUCCAGGUGUAGCGGUGAAAUGCGUAGAUAUCUGGAGGAACACUGGUGGCGAAGGCGGCAUCCUGGACCGGUAUUGACGCUGAGGCGCGAAAGCCAGGGGAGCAAACGGG